CCAUUGCCAGCGACAUGUUCAAGGUAAUUCAGAGGUCCGUGGGGCCGGCCAGCCUGAGCUUGCUCACCUUCAAAAUCUAUGCUGUACCAAAAAAGGACUCACCUCCCAAAAAUUCUGUGAAGGUUGGUGAGCUUUCACUCUACUCAGUUCCCAGAGGUCAGUCGAAGUAUGUGGAGGAAUCACGGAGCCCACCUGAAGAAAGCAUCUCACAGCUCCGACACUACUGUGAGCCAUACACAAGCUGCUGUCAGGAAACGUACUCCUAAGCUAAGCCCAAGGUGCAAAGUUUGGUUCAAUGGGGGUUAGACAGCUAUGACUAUCUCCAAAAUGCACCUCCUGGAUUUUUUCCGAGAUUUGGUGUUAUUGGUUUUGCUGGCCUUAUUGGACUCUUUUUGGCUAGAGGUUCAAAAAUAAAGAAGCUAGUGUACCCGCCUGGUUUCAUGGGGUUAGCUGCCUCCCUCUAUUAUCCACAAGCCAUCGUGUUUGCCCAGGUCAGUGGGGAGAGAUUAUAUGACUGGGGUUUACGAGGAUAUAUCGUCAUAGAAGAUCUAUGGAAGGAGAACUUUCAAAAGCAAGGAAAUGUGACAAAUUCACCUGGAACUAAGUAGAAAACUCCAUGCUCUGCCCAUCUUAAUCAGUUAUAGGUAAACAUUGGAAACUCCAUAGAAUAAAUCAGUAUUUCUACAGAAAAAUGGCAGAGAAAUCAGUAUUGAAUGUAUUAAAUUGGCUUUCUUCUUCAGGAAAAACUAGACCAGACUUCUCUUAUCUUGGGUGAUACCAUCCUACAAGCAAACUAAUCUGACAUCCUUUCACCUAGAGAUAAUGUACAAGCCUUAGAACUCCUCGUUCUCAUGUUGCUAUUUAUGUACAUAAUUAAAACCCAAGUUAAAAAAAAAAA